UACAGAGGUCUCAAGCGUUGUUCGGAUUCAUUGGGCGUAAAGGGUGCGUAGGUGGCGUCGUAAGUCAGGUGUGAAAUUUCGAGGCUUAACUUCGAAACUGCAUUCGAUACUGCCGUGCUAGAGGACUGGAGAGGAGACUGGAAUUUACGGUGUAGCGGUGAAAUGCGUAGAUAUCGUAAGGAAGACCAGUGGCGAAGGCGGGUCUCUGGACAGUUCCUGACGCUGAGGCACGAAGGCCAGGGGAGCAAACGGG
rnacentral:rRNA from 1 species